rnacentral:misc_RNA from 1 species
AUCACCACUCACUUAUCUUCUUCUCCAUCUCUCUCUCUGCUUCUCCCUUAAUCUUAGCCGGGUCUCGUGGGGGACGAACAUAGAAAGAGAGAGAUAUAAAGAUAUAUAUUCAGAAACCCUAGAUUCUAUAAUUUCGACUG